GAUGAACGCUGGCGGCGUGCCUAAUACAUGCAAGUCGAGCGAACAGACGAGGAUCUUGCUCCUCUGACGUUAGCGGCGGACGGGUGAGUAACACGUGUAUAACCUACCUAUAAGACUGGUAUAACUUCGGGAAACCGGAGCUAAUACCGUAUAAUAUAUUGAACCGCAUGGUUCAUUAGUGAAAGUCGGUUUUGCUGUCACUUAUAGCUGGAUCCGCGCCGCAUUAGCUAGUUGGUAAGGUAACGGCUUACCAAGGCAACGAUGCGUAGCCGACCUGAGAGGGUGAUAGGCCACACGGGAACGGAGACACGGUCCAGACUCCUACGGGAGGCAGCAGUAGGGAAUCGUACGCAAUGGGCGAAAGCCUGACGGAGCGACGCCACGUGAGUGAUGAAGGUCUUCGGAUCGUAAAACUCUGUUAUUAGGGAAGAACAAAUGUGUAAGUAACUAUGCACGUCUUGACGGUACCUAGUCAGAAAGCCACGGCUAACUACGUG
rnacentral:rRNA from 1 species